AUGCUAGCAUGGAGACGCUCCAAGGACUCUCCCUCCACCAUCUUCAUCCCUGAACAUCUCCCUGUGGGUCACAAAUACAAACAGGCCAAGUAGUGGUGCCCCUGUCAGUCACUCACGGCUCUCUGGAGCUGAAGAUUGAGCCUCGCCCCGUUUGCUCUGUCAUCUACAUUUUUGCACAGACAAGUUUUGAACAGGCUCGGUGGCAUUCACUCCAGACCCAGUCUCUCCUGGGGAUGAACGGAUAUAUAACGAUGCCUGGAAGGACAGUUGAAACAUUCCAUCUGACGGAAUUCAGCUUUUCCUGA
rnacentral:lncRNA from 1 species